rnacentral:SRP_RNA from 1 species
CGUCGGUCCCCCCGCAACAAUCAGCCGUAAACCUGGUCAGGCCCGGAAGGGAGCAGCCAUAGCGGUGAUAUUGUGUGCCGGGGUGUGGCUGGCGGGG